UUGGCCAUGUCAAAGUGCUAACAGUGCAGGUAGCUUUUUGAGUUCUACUGCAGUGCCAGCACUUCUUACAUUACCAU
rfam:Mus musculus chromosome X, GRC primary reference assembly.